AACGCGAAGAACCUUACCUACCCUUGACAUCCUAGGAAGACUGCAGAGAUGCGGUUGUGCCGAAAGGAACCUAGAGACAGGUGCUGCAUGGCUGUCGUCAGCUCGUGUUGUGAGAUGUUGGGUUAAGUCCCGUAACGAGCGCAACCCUUAUCCUUAGUUGCCAGCACGUAAUGGUGGGAACUCUAAGGAGACUGCCGGUGACAAACCGGAGGAAGGUGGGGAUGACGUCAAGUCAUCAUGGCCCUUACGGCCAGGGCUACACACGUACUACAAUGGUCGGUACAGAGGGUUGCAAUACCGCGAGGUGGAGCCAAUCCCAGAAAGCCGAUCCCAGUCCGGAUCGAAGUCUGCAACUCGACUUCGUGAAGUCGGAAUCGCUAGUAAUCGCAGAUCAGCUAUGCUGCGGUGAAUACGUUCCCGGGCCUUGUACACACCGCGCAUA
rnacentral:rRNA from 1 species